AAAAAUAAAGGAAAACAACCAUGAAUACACAUCACACGAAUACGACCACUGUUGUCAUGGCCAAUCCAACACCCCCUGUGGUCAUUCAACAAGUGAAAAAAGAAAGAUUUGCUGAUAAGAUUGCGUUGAAUCUCCUCAUAACUCUUUUCUUCCCCUUCUGGAUAUUUAUUUGGUGCUGUAUGUGUAUUUGUGAGAAACACGAAUGACGUCUUUCGCUGACGAGAUUACCACCUGCGAUGACAAUUUAAAGAAAUGUAUGC